rnacentral:rRNA from 1 species
UUGAACGCUGGCGGCAUGCUUUACACAUGCAAGUCGAACGGCAGCACGGGCUUCGGCCUGGUGGCGAGUGGCGAACGGGUGAGUAAUAUAUCGGAACGUACCCAGAAGUGGGGGAUAACGUAGCGAAAGUUACGCUAAUACCGCAUACGAUCUAUGGAUGAAAGCAGGGGACCGCAAGGCCUUGUGCUCCUGGAGCGGCCGAUAUCUGAUUAGCUAGUUGGUGAGGUAAAGGCUCACCAAGGCGACGAUCAGUAGCUGGUCUGAGAGGACGACCAGCCACCCUGAAACUGGAACAGGGCCCACCCUCCUGCGGGGGGGAGGAGUGGGAAUUUUUGGACAAGGGGCGAAGGCUUGAUCCAGCAGUGCCGGGUGGGGGAAAAGGGCUUUGGGUUUAAAAAGCUUUUUUGCGAGGAAAAAAACGGAAGAGCCUAAUAUCCUUGGCUAAUGAGGUUACCUGAAAAAUAAGCCCCGGCUAACUACGUC